rnacentral:lncRNA from 1 species
UCAAACACAUAAGGUACAAAUUUAUUUUUUAAUUGGUUUGAAGAUUAUGCUUCUAAGAACAAUAUAAAUUUCCCUUUUUCUAAAACAGUGAAUCCAAUUACCAAUCGCAAUAAAACUCCUGAAUGGGAAACACUUGCCAAUGGUAAAAUUAUUCGCUCCAACAAUUCUCCUCCCCAAGGGAUAAAGCUAGAUUGGUAAGGAACCCCAAUGGAAGCAAUUCCUUUUAAACGACCCCAAGAAGAUGAUAAAGCUAAUAUAAAAAAAUAUCACUGUUCAAAACAAUUUUUCAAACACUAAUCUUGGUACAAUAAGCAAGCAACUUGAUAGGAUUGAAAAGUCAAUCCAAAAUCAAAACCCCAUUCCAAUGGAGUCUCCUUCUGAAAAGAAAAGCAAAAGUCCCAUGUUUAAACAUUUCCAAAUUUCCAAUUCAAGUGUCAAAACUUACCAAGACACAAACCUUGAAUUCAUUCGUGCCCUCCAAAGUCAAUUAAGUAAAGCUGAAAUAGGAGAUAGUAGCAUGCCACAUAUUUCUGAUAUCCCCAAUACUCCUACUUCCAAAAUCCAAAUAAACACUAUAGCCAAUGAUUCAGACAUUAGUGAAUGUUCUGAUCAAAAUUCUGUCCCAAAAAUAAACCGUCUUGAUUGGCAAAACCAUCUAGAUCGUCAAUUAAUCCCAGCCCGUUAUCUAGGACAAAUCCAACCAGUAGAGCAAUCUCGGUUUAACUCAUAAUCAGUCUAUGACUGGAAUAUUGAUGGUAUAUCUGAAAAUAACAUUUUAAGUUUCCUUCUAAAAAUGACAAUGGCCGCAAACGCCUAUAGAACCCAAAUAGGAAAUGAGGAUAAAACCGUAGCUGAAUUCCUCAUAGCUGGCUUUUCGGGACAGCUUAAAGGAUGGUGGGAUAAUUACCUAACCAAUCAGCAACGAGCAGAAAUCCUAGAUUCAAUUAAAACGGAUGAAGAUAAUGUACCAAUCCUAGAUAAUCUCGGAAAUCCUCAACAAGAUGUUGUUGCUACUUUAGUCAUAGCCAUAACCUUGCAUUUUAUAGGAGAUCCCUCGGUCCUUAGAGAUAAAAAUGCUGAACUCCUUUCAAACCUUAAAUGCAAAAAACUAAGUGAUUUCCAAUGGUACAAAAACACAUUUCUUACUAGAGUCUUACUCCGUCAGGAUUCUAACCAACUUUUUUGGAAAGAAAAAUUCCUAGCUGGCCUUCCUACUCUCUUAGGAGGCAAAGUUAGAAACAAAAUUAGAGAUUCCAUGGGAACCCAAAUAAUAGAUUACGAUGAUUUCACUUAUGGAGAGUUGAUCAGUAUUGUUCAACAAGAAGGUCUUAGGAUAUGCCAAGACCUGAAACUCCAGAAACAUCUUAAAUGGGAACUCAAAAGAACGAAAGUAGAAUUAGGAUCAUUCUGUAAACAAUUUGAAAUAGACCCCAAUCAAGGUAGUAAAUCUUGUGUAGGAGAUUGCAACAAAAACUAAUAUUCUAAAAUUAAGCCUAGAAAACAUUCUAGAAACUAUAAAAGUUUUAGAAGUCGUGAAAAUUCAUGGAAAAAACCCCAAAACAAAUUCUCUUCAAAGGAAACCCCAGCCAAAAAACCUUUCUAUAAAGAUCUUACAUGCUUCAAAUGCAAUAAGAAAGGUCACACUUCAAAGUUUUAUCGUUUUAAUCGCAAAAUCCAGGAACUAAACCUGGAGAAGAAAUUUCAAGUAAAAUAUAUAAUCUUUUACUAAAUGAUUCCUCUUCGUCAUAUGACUCUGACUCAUCCGUGGCUUCUGAAAAGGCCCUUCAGGAUGAUGAACUAAAUAUUUCAUCUUCUAGUUCAGAGUCAAAUGAAAAGAAUAUCUAUGUCCUCACUAAAGAUCAAGAAUUACAACUUGAAAUAUUAAAUUCCAUUUCUGAUCCAAGCCUAAAACAUAAAUUUCUUGAGAAAAUCAUUUCCUCUUUAAACGAAAAAGAUGUUAAAAACAUAGAUAAUUCCCCAAAAUCUCAUGGUCCAAGUUCCUACAAAUCCUCUUAUGAUCUCAACAAAAGAAAGAAAGACACCUCGAAAACAACAAUACAAGAUAUUAGAAUUGAAAUCAAAGAAGUAAAAAAUGAUCUAAAAAUCCUCAAAGAAAAAAAAGACAAGAUUCUGAAUAUUUUCACUCGAUCAUAUCUUCCAUCAAAGAUCCUCAUGAUUCUAGUUAGGAAGAACAAGAAAAUGAUUGCUUAAAUAAUAAAGAUGAAAAUAUCAAAGAACAAAUUCAAUCUCUAGAUAUGGCCCCUAAUGAUUUCCUUUUCGUUCUACGAGAAAUAACCUCUCGAAAAUAUAAAAUUAGAGUUACCAUUGUUUUUUCAAAGUACAAAAUGGACACAAUUGCUUUGUUCGACACUGGUGCAGAUCUUAACUGUAUCAAGUCUGGGCUUGUUCCAAAAUGUUUUCAUCUAGAAACUAAAAAACUAUCUGCUGCAAAUAACUCUAAACUUCGUAUAACAUCUAAAGCAGAAGCUUUAAUAUUAAAAGAAAAUAUUCUUAUUAAAACUGCAUUCGUCUCACAGAUGAUAUAUAGCAAAAUGUUAAUUAGGAACACCAUUUAUUAAUUUGAUCACACCAUAUAAAGUUAUGGAUGAUAAAAUUUCCUUUAAAAAUCAAAACAUAAAAUUAUCUUUUAAAUUUCUCGAAACACCAAAAAAGCGAAGUCUAAACUUAAUAAAAUCUUGUUCAAUACAAGAAAACUUUCUAAACUCUUUAAUCCAUAGUAAAACCUUUUCCACCUGGAACAUUUAAAAUCAGAAGUUUUACUUCAAAAGACCUUAGAAACCUUAAAUUCAAAAGAUAUAAAAGAGAAAAUUUCGAACUUAAAUAAAUUAUUUGAGAAAGAAAUUUGUUCAGAUUAACCAACUGAUUUUUGGAAUCGAAAACAACAUAUUGUUGAUUUACCUUAUGAUGAAAAUUUUCUUGAAAAAGAGAUUCCCACAAAAGCUCGUCCAAAUCAAAUGAACUCAGAAUUAGA